rnacentral:rRNA from 1 species
UACGUAGGCAGCGAGCGUUGUUCGGAGUUACUGGGCGUAAAGGGUGUGUAGGCGGUUGUUUAAGUUUGGUGUGAAAUCUCCCCGGCUCAACUGGGAGGGUGCGCCGAAUACUGAAUGACUUCGAGUACGGGAGAGGUGAGUGGAAUUCCUGGUGUAGCGGUGAAAUGCGCAGAUAUCAGGAAGAACACCAAUGGCGAAAGCAGCUCUCUGGGACGGUACUGACGCUGAGACGCGAAAGCGUGGGGAGCGAACAGG